UUCUAAGUAGUUUAAUUAAAAAUGGUGAUUUGUGACGUCACUGAUGUAUUUUAUUACCUUGGGUA
rnacentral:tRNA from 1 species